CCCCUAGAUGUUCUGGGCCGCACGCGCGCUACACUGAACAGUUCAACAAGUCUUAACCUUGGCCGAUAGGUCUGGGUAAUCUUUGAACGCUGUUCGUGAUUGGGAUAGACCUUUGCAAUUAUGGGUCUUCAACGAGGAAUUCCUAGUAAACGCAAGUCAUCAGCUUGCAUUGAUUACGUCCCUGCCCUUUGUACACACCGCCCGUCGCACCUACCGAUUGAAUGGUCCGGUGAAAACUCGGGACGGCGGCUUGGUCGCUUGCGUCCGACUGCUGAAACUUGAUUAAACCAUAUCAUUUAGAGGAAGGUGAAGUCGUAACA
rnacentral:rRNA from 1 species